ensembl:lncRNA
GUUGCUGUUGGCUGGUUGGAGAGCAUUUGGGUUUCUAGGCUGGUGAGCCACUGCGCUUGGAUCUUUGUGAGUUGUUGAAUCUGAACACAGUUUGAAGCUGUAGGUUGGUUGGAAACCAACUGGAAUUUGAUGCUGUUAAGUGAUUAUACUUGGACUUUGUGAGCUUUGAAUCCUGAAGCAGUUUCUCUCCACUAUGACAAGGUUUUUUGGUUUCGGUUUGUGUAUUUGCUUGCUUGUUUUAUGCAUAUACUUUUCCAUGCUUUUAUUAUCUCCCAUUUUACUUUUAAUUGUUUUAAGUUAUAUUUGAUAAGUUAGAACCUUUUCUGUUUUCAUUUACGUGUAGGUGUAUUUUUGCCUUCAUGUGUGUCUGAGCACCAUCAACCUGGUCCCAGCUGUGGAGGUCAGAAGAGGGACUCAGAUUUUCAGGAACCAGAAUUACAUUCGGUUGUGAGCCUCUUGUCAUACACCUGGAAUUAAAACAAUAACAUAUUCACAUACCAUAACUGGGUUUUAAAACAAACCAAAAGUCUCACUACAACUACCUGUAGUUCCAUUUCCAGGGAAUCUGAUGCCCUCUCUGACCUUUAAAGGUCAUAAGUAACAUUAUUUAAAGACUUGUAUUAGUAUUUUAAGCGACAUGUAGUGUCUGUGAGUGUGUUUUAUGGGUCUGCUUAGAGGUCAGAGGUGUAAGAUGUCCUAGAGCUGAACUUACAGCAGUUGUGAACCAACUGACCUGGAUCCUGAGAACCAAAUGCAGGUCCUCUGCAGGAGUAGCUGAUAUUCUGGACUCCAGAAAUAGCUCCUCAGCCUGGACACUGUGGUUUUUGGAGGGUCUGUUCUCUUAUCUACUCUUCUUGAGCCUGAUUUUCUUAGUGCAUUGGCUCACAGUGAAUGCUGAGAUCAGGGUGGGUAGGAUGGUUGUCUUUUCCAAUGAGCAGCUCUUACUAUCUUUGAUCCUUUGUUUUGUUCUUUCAGUUUGCAGUUGAUUCCUAUUGACCUGAUCCUUGUCAUAGUUGUAUCUACUGCUUUAGAAGGUGUUUUGUUCUUCUCUUUCCAAGCAUUUAAAGUACCUGACUAGGUUGUCU